rnacentral:tRNA from 1 species
AAGAUUUUAAGUUAAAAAACUAUUUACCUUCAAAGUAAAAAUUAUAUUUUAUUAUAUAAAUCUUA